UUAUAAGAAUGUGAAGCCGCUAGGAGCUUAAACGGGUGGAACUGCGAAGGACGAACGAGGGUAUUCAACUCGUGGGUCGGACGGGACUGGGAUUUUCUCCCGAUGGCGCCGUGCUGUUGUAUGUAGCGCGGGAGGCCCAGUCCCAGACACAAGUCCGGCCGGCGGGCGUAAUUGUCCCCUCUAGUAGCGUGACACAGCGAGCCGUCUGCGGGAGCCAGGAGGGCCGCGUCCGGAUUGGUACCCUCGGUCAGGAGGGGAAACCGGCGUGCUGCUGCUCCUAGGCUGGCUCUGAAGCCGCGACGGUGCUCCGAAGAGAAGGG
rnacentral:rRNA from 1 species